rnacentral:lncRNA from 1 species
AUGACACCAAUAUGAUAUAAUUCUAAGGCAUCAUUCUCUAGAGGCCAAACUAGAUGGGUACUUACAUGAGAUCUAAAUGAGUAAGCAUACUCUCUCAUUAUUAUUAACACUAGCCAACAUGAUAUAAUUCUGUGGUGGGCUUGGUAAUAAUGAGCCUCCCAUACCCUACUAAGAGUUUCCUCCAAAACUCUCGAAUUCCGAUGAGGGAUGUAGAACAUGCCAAAAAUAGUGGGUGGUGCUAUUUGAUUUAAAGACCUAGAUCAAAUGGCUUAAAAUCAAUCAAUUUUAUAUUCAUUAUGUAUUUAAUUACCGAUAUAUUUGCAAACACUAUCCAAAACUUGACAACGAAAAGCCGAAGGCUUUAGUUUCUGGACUUGGUACCACAAUCCCAUAGAUUGUCUUGAAUGGAUUGUAUAUGUACCUAAGUAGUCUCAUCCUCAUAGUCUUCCUAUUGAUAAUGUAUCAUUGGAAGAACAUGUUAGAUAAGUCUAUCAUAAAGAGGACAACACUUUUAGUGUCAUAGUUCUUCAAUUACAAAUCAUUGUAUAAAGAAAUAAGAGUUGCUUUGAACAACCCUUAGUUAAUGCAAACACUAGUGCUUGUUGCUUUGCUAAAUGAACAAGGAACUUGAGAAGUAAGCACAAGGGCAUGGACACUUUAUGUGCCAUGAUUCUUGACUUACAAAUUGUUGUAUGAAGAAAUGAGAGUUGCCUUGAACAACUCUUGAAAGUUUGUAAUUAUGUUUAGAACAUAAUGGUUGAUUGACAAAAUAGUCCAUCAAUAUGGACUUUAUGAUAAUUUUGAAUCAUUGAGUGUAGAAGUGUUAAACCACUUCAUGAGACAGAAACUAGGCUUAUACUUCACCUUUGUGUCCCCAUCAAAAUGGUUCACUAAGUUUAUCGUAAACUAUAUAGUGAACAAUAACCGCACUCUCUCCAAAUCAUUUGAUGUGUAUGACACAAUUGAAAUAAGUUUCAAGAGAGAUUGUGGGAGGUUAAGGGACCAUUACUAUUGUAGUCAAUGGGGAAGUCAAAUGAAGAAGGCGAAAUAACUCCAAGGGAACAAACUUUCUUAAUGAAAGGUUGGACAUUGGAAGGGGUAUUUGCAAGAAAUGUCUUGCGAGUGUCAAGAACACACCUUUCGAAGGUGUUGUAAAUUGUUGUUGAAUAGUUCAAAACAGUUGGUUCUUCUAUUUAAAUGCUUGAUGUCAUAUUAGUAACUAUGUUUUACAAUCGUUGUAAAAGUGUGGCUAAUAAGAAGUAGAAGAUUAAUGAGAGAAGAGAAAGUACUUCACAUUCGGAACAUGAAUCAAAUAUAGAUCUCUGUGAAAGCAGAUAGUGCUUACUUGCUCAUAUGAACCACCAAAGAAAUUGGAAAACCAAAGAUUGUCUUUACAUUCCAAUUUGAAUAAGGAACUUAAUUCCAUCACUAUAGUUUUAAGAGAUGGAUAAAUGUUUUGUUUAAAAAACAUUGCUCUUUAUUAAUGAAUGAUUGAAUUAUAGUAAUCGGAUUAAUUGUCUCUAUAUUGUAGAGAUAAUGUGGUAGUAUUAACUGUUUAGAAUACAAACAUGCUUAAAACCCAAAAGGUUGCAAGGUAGUGACUAAUCCCAACUAAGUUGUGAUACCUCUAAAAACAUAAAUUACGAGUUGGUCAUAGAUGGAUGCUUUGGAUCGUUAGAUCCAUAUCCAAUGCCUUCUUGUUAAAAUUGUAUAGGGGUGAAAUGUUUGAAUCUUUAUUCUUUUGGAAAGAAUAAAGAAUCACAAUGUUGUUGAGGUUAAUUCACUUAGAUGUUAGCGGCACAUGUCCACAACAUAAUACUACUCAUGUUAUAUGACAUUCUGCUCUUGGUUGGACUAUCAUUUAUUUUGAAUAAACACAAGUCCGAAUACUUUCCAAAAGGUUUCAAGGAAUUCAAGAAUGUAGGUUGAUGAGUAAGACAUUUAAAGUAUUUACUUCCUUAGAUUUGAUCCAAGGAAAAAUAACAGUUUAGAAGAGUUUCCUUGAAAGAUAUCAAGGAAAGUAGCAUCAUAAGAUAAUGGAUUUCUCCAUUGGGAGAAGAACGAACUAGAAUAAGAUUUAGUUCGUUGGAUGUUAUCAAAUACGCAUAUAUAGGAUAUAUAUUUCUAAAACAAUAUGAUUGUCAAUUAGAAGAUCUUCCAAAAUUUUCAUGACUCCAUAGGAUGUACUUGGAAAGAAAGACGAGUCUUAAUUCGUGUUAAGAUUUGGGGUUGUGUGCUAAUAUGCAAUAUUUGUUUCAGAACAAUCUUGUGGGAUAUCCUUAAAUUAACCUUUGGAUAUCACUUCUAUAAACCAACUAACAAAUGUUGUUUGUUGAGUAAUUCAUUGUAAUCCUACACUAGGAUUUGCCUAAGAUAGAGCAAAUGAACGAGAGAUAGAACUUAAAGAAUGGGUUCUUUGAGAGACAAGAUAAUAAUCAACAAAUAUAACAACCUAGUUCCUACACCACAAGCUCAAAGGUAGUCGAGAAGGAUUUAUAGACCGUCUCAGUUUAAUGGUUUGAACUUUAUGGCUAUGUCAUAGAGUUACACCUCUUAAUUCAAAAGAAAUAAGAAUGAAAAUCCUUAUGACUACAUUGAGUGUAUAUAUGAGAUAUAUUCAAGGAAAUGGUAUAGUACCAUUUGACCCAAAAUAAUGAAACCUACAUAGCUAAAUGGUAGCUUAAGGUGAUUACAAUCAACGAGAUUGGUUGACUUGGAUGAAACCAUCUUUGAUGUAGUCUUGGUUUCAAUUAAUUCGAAGAUUGCUAGUUACAACUAAACAGUGAUUCAAUGUUUGGACGUAAUAGGGGUUUCGAAAACCAUUAUCAAGAUGGUCUUGAUAAUAUAUGUCUAAGACUAGGAAUCACAAGACAUGUAAGUUGUAGAGAUCCAUCCAUCAUGAAUCUUAGCAAGCUAGUGGGAGCUAUAA